rnacentral:rRNA from 1 species
UACGGGGGGGGCAAGCGUUGUUCGGAAUUACUGGGCGUAAAGGGCUCGUAGGUGGCCAACUAAGUCAGACGUGAAAUCCCUCGGCUUAACCGGGGAACUGCGUCUGAUACGUGGAUGGCUGAGUGAUGGGAGGAGGAUGGCGAAUUCCAGGUGUAGCGGUGAAAUGCGUAGAUAUCUGGAGGAACACCGGUGGCGAAGGCGGCAUCCUGGACCAUUACUGACGCUGAGGAGCGAAAGCCAGGGGAGCAAAGCGGG